CCCUGCCAUUUGUACACACCGCCCGUCGCACCUACCGAUUGAAUGGUCCGGUGAAAUCUUGGGAUUCUGAUUCAUUUCAUUGAUUUGUUAUUUAUCGGGAGAACUUGAGUAAACCUUACCAUUUAGAG
rnacentral:rRNA from 1 species